UCUUCCCUCGGGAGGAAAUGCUAUCCUGGGUUUUGACGUCAGGCUUUAUGGCCUCAACGCUGAGAGAGUAACAACAACUCGCUGUGAUGUCACGAUUGGAGGAGUAUGCUGUUUUUGUUCAGCUCGUCCCCCUGGAGAGGCUACAGUGUCAGAGUUGAGGACUGUCACAGUAGCUCUGUGUCCCUGACAGUCCAAACCCACUCCUCUGGAAAGAAGAAACUCAGUAGGGAAUCUUUUGGGGAAACAGAACUGGGAAAACAGAUUCAACCCCUGAUGUACCCCCCUGACAUCCAUCCACCAGAACCCCAUGGGAAACCUCAAGGCCUCCUCCUCCUCCUCUCUGCUCCUGCUGCCAAAAGCCCAGCUGGAGAGUCAUAAGGUCACUCAGCUGAUUUAAUCCCCGGUCCAGGUCACAUAAACACACAACAAUGGGAAAGCGACCAGUAGAAGUUGACUUGAAUGUUCUGAAGAUUGUCAUGAAACUGAAUUUAUUCAUUUUUGGCAACAAAAAUAUGUUGUUUUUUAUCCUGAACCACGAACUGAACAGAAACAGCUUCUUUAGUACAUGACAGUAAAGUUCAGAAAUGUUAUCUAAUUUGUGUUUACUGAUGCAUCAGAACAAGCUGCUGCAUAAAAACCAGACUCCUUUGAUCUUUUACAGCAUUACAAUGCCUCACAACAAGUUGAGCGUUUCAGUAAUUUUGCAAAAGGGCUUAACAUUUGUUUAAUAUAAUCUCACUUUAUCUUGAUGUCAUCAGGACUGAAGGUCACAUAAGUGACCCUAUUUGGAAACAAAAGCCCUGUGUUAAAGAGUAUCUUUUAUUUUUCAACCUGAAGUGACUAAUGGGAACAACAAUUUUAGAAUUUGGUCCAGUACUGAGGGAGAGGGCUGUGGCCUGCAGUCGCAAAAUGGGCUGCAAAAUGUCCUUUCUGGACAGCAUUCAUCCUAAAGCUGCAGCCAGCCUGCAGGGUUUCAUAAUUCUGCAGCAUUGCAUCUGUCCUGCAUUACACUGUGGCCACACCGCACUCAUUUUCUUGUCUGUCAAAUGUACAGCAAUACUUACAAUGCACAGAACUUUGCAAAACAACUGCAAGGGAUUAUGUAAGAAGACUCUGGUCACGCAAUAGUAUAACCUGAGACUAAGAAUAACAAUGUAGUGAUGCUGGAGAGAUUGUACAGUUGGAAUGGCAAAGGAGAAAGUACUUAAAAUUAAAAUGAGAAAAAAAAGACAUAGAGAGACUGAGAGAAGGACAGAAAGAACAGAAAAACUAAAAGAGGGUCAAAGACAGCAAUUUGUUUUGUACACCUCUUUUUCCUUAUCAGUGUCUGUCAGGUUGUGAAUGUAUGCUGUGACGAGAGCAAGACUGGAUAGGUGAUUUCAUCUUUGGGACUAAAGCACGAUGAGGACUCCCUGUACCUGAAACCACUGAAGCACAGGAAUGCCUCUAACACAGAAGGCCUAUUGUGGGUUCAUAUCUGAUCUGAAAUCAGCAAAACCGGCCACCGAAUAGAAAAACAGCCAGACUCUUGGACGGAUGGAGGAAUGAAGACAAACAGACAAACUGGGUGACCUGCAGUGAGAACACAAAGUGCCAGACUGUCGAGGUCUGACAGGUGGAUUAGCUGUAAGAACAUCCAGAAAACAAAACCCUCCAGGUUAGCUUCUGCAUGUUCAAGUCCUGUAGAGCAAUACAUAUCGUCGUAGGAUAUUAUAUAGGAACAGCAUAUGAUAGGGCAUGAUAUAUAAAAGACACAUGAACAUUUUUUAACUAUCCAUCUUUGAAAGCUUGGUUUUAUUCCAUGAAUUGUGAUUCUAAAUGUGAUUAAUUAAUGCAUAAUGACAGAAAUUGUGGCCCUAAAGAAAACAAAGCUAUGCUGUGCUUUAAUCAGCCAAUCACAAACAAGUAUUUCCUGUUGCCAAAGUGGUACAUCUCACCUGCAUAAACAAGGACAUGUCAAUAAUGUUGUCAACACACACUGGAUGCUUUGUGAUCAGAGAAUGAGCCAGGUGCAACUCACAAUAUGUACAGUGUGUUCAAAUUUAUGAGGAAGUCACACACAUAGAUGUCACAUUAAAGUCUAAUGUGAUGGUGAUCCCACUACUAAGCUUUAGGUGAUAGUGAGUUCGCCUGGACCUACUGUAAGUCACUUUGUUAAAGUUUCUUUAUGUUCUUAAAUAUAUGCUAAAAAAUAUAAUAAAUAAGAUAUAAACAGAAAUCUACUACUACUUUACAGUACAGUACAUGCAAACACACACACACACACACACACACACACACACACACACACACACACACACACACACACACACACUCAAAGAGAUAUUUUAAUAUGCAAAAAUGUUAAUGAAACUAUGUAUCCGUGAAC